rnacentral:rRNA from 1 species
GAUGAACGCUGGUGGCGUGCCUAAUACAUGCAAGUCGAGCGAACGGACGAGAAGCUUGCUUCUCUGAUGUUAGCGGCGGACGGGUGAGUAACACGUGGAUAACCUACCUAUAAGACUGGGAUAACUUCGGGAAACCGUAGCUAAUACCGGAUAAUAUUUUGAACCGCAUGGUUCAAAAGUGAAAGACGGUCUUGCUGUCACUUAUAGAUGGAUCCGCGCUGCAUUAGCUAGUUGGUAAGGUAACGGCUUACCAAGGCAACGAUGCAUAGCCGACCUGAGAGGGUGAUCAGCCACACUGGAACUGAGACACGGUCCAGACUCCUACGGGAGGCAGCAGUAGGGAAUCUUCCGCAAUGGGCGAAAGCCUGACGGAGCAACGCCGCGUGAGUGAUGAAGGUCUUCGGAUCGUAAAACUCUGUUAUUAGGGAAGAACAUAUGUGUAAGUAACUGUGCACAUCUUGACGGUACCUAAUCAGAAAGCCACGGCUAACUACGUG